UACAGAGGUGCCAAGCGUUAGGCGGAAUCACUGGGCUUAAAGCGCGCGUAGGCGGAUGUUUAAGUGUCUUGUGAAAUCCCACGGCUCAACCGUGGAACUGCUGGGCAUACUGGACAUCUCGAGGCACUCAGGGGCGAGCGGAACAAGUGGUGGAGCGGUGAAAUGCGUAGAUAUCACUUGGAACGCCAAUGGUGAAGACAGCUCGGCUGGGGGUGUCCUGACGCUGAGGCGCGAAAGCCAGGGGAGCGAAUGGG
rnacentral:rRNA from 1 species